rnacentral:rRNA from 1 species
CCUACGGGGGGCAGCAGGGAGGAAUAGUGGACAAGGGGCGCGAGCCGGAACCAGCCAAGGAGCGUGAAGGAUGAAAGCCCUACGGGUGGUAAACUUCUGUUAUAAAGGAAUAAAGUGAGGCACGUGUGCCUUUUUGUAUGUACUUUAUGAAUAAGGAUCGGCUAACUCCGUGCCAGCAGCCGCGGUAAUACGGAGGAUCCGAGCGUUAUCCGGAUUUAUUGGGUUUAAAGGGAGCGUAGAUGGGUUGUUAAGUCAGUUGUGAAAGUUUGCGGCUCAACCGUACAAUUGCAAUUGAUACUGGCAGUCUUGAGUACAGUUGAGGUAGGCGGAAUUCGUGGUGUAGCGGUGAAAUGCUUAGAUAUCACGAAGAACUCCGAUUGCGAAGGCAGCUUACUAGACUGCCACUGACAUUGAUGCUCGAAAGUGUGGGUAUCAAACAGGAUUAGAUACCCGGGUAGUC